AUUGAACGCUGGCGGCAGGCCUAACACAUGCAAGUCGAGCGGAUGAAGGGAGCUUGCUCCUGGAUUCAGCGGCGGACGGGUGAGUAAUGCCUAGGAAUCUGCCUGGUAGUGGGGGAUAACGUCCGGAAACGGGCGCUAAUACCGCAUACGUCCUGAGGGAGAAAGUGGGGGAUCUUCGGACCUCACGCUAUCAGAUGAGCCUAGGUCGGAUUAGCUAGUUGGUGGGGUAAAGGCCUGCCAAGGCGACGAUCCGUAACUGGUCUGAGAGGAUGAUCAGUCACACUGGAACUGAGACACGGUCCAGACUCCUACGGGAGGCAGCAGUGGGGAAUAUUGGACAAUGGGCGAAAGCCUGAUCCAGCCAUGCCGCGUGUGUGAAGAAGGUCUUCGGAUUGUAAAGCACUUUAAGUUGUGAGGAAGGGCAGUAAGUUAAUACCUUGCUGUUUUGACGUUACCAACAGAAUAAGCACCGGCUAACUUCGUG
rnacentral:rRNA from 1 species